UUUGGGAAGAAUUGAUUAAGCAGUGUCUUAACAAACCUGAAAUGGUAGGAGUUCUGUUGGAGCAUACUGUUGGCAAUCUCGACCCCCUAUACAUUGUAAAUCUGGUGCCUAAUGGCUUUGGAAUUUCUCGCCCUCCUAGUCAAAAUUAUUACUGAUUACAGAACUGAAACAUCUCUUAGACACGGGUGCAAUGAUAUUCUUAAGGCUGAUUGUGUGAACCUCUUGGUCAAAUACUACAAGGAAGCAAGACGGGCAGUUUGCUUAAGUAGUGAAGGAGAGGAUGCACGGGCGAAAAGUGAAGGUAGGAGGGAUUCUCAGGUAACUGAGAGAGCAGUAAGCAUGAGAACAACGGAGGUCAAGUCAAAAACAAGAGGAGAUUCAAGAUGUUGCAUGUGUUNNNGUGUUUUGAUCCCUUCUCUAUACAAAAAGUUUCAGUCAUUGUAUUCUUUUGCUGUCAUGCUUAUCACAUGACUUGUUUAAUGGAUUCCAUGCAUAGUGUUAGUGAUCAAAAAGGGAGUGAAGAAAAUGAUGAGUAUGAAGAAGAAGAUGAUGGCGAUGAUACCCAUGCUGGUGUUCCUAGAUUGCGAUGCAUUUUGUGUACUACUGCUGCCAGUUGAGAUGGAACGUUGGUUUUCUUUAUCCGAGUCCCUUUUCUCUUUGGCUGGGGAGUGGGGAAGGGGUUGGAAUUGUGCUAGUUUUCACCAUUUUAUCAGGCUUUUCUUUCCUUUUUUUUCCCACUUCAUUUUUUUGUGUUAAUAUAUGGUAAGUGUGGUAUUCAUCAGCUUGCCAUUUUUGGUCGAGC
rnacentral:misc_RNA from 1 species